ACUAUUUCUGAUGAAAUAUAUGAUUCGUCUGAGCCAGUGCACCACGUGGAGGAGAAGCAGGAGCAGGAGGUUCGGGAGGAUCCGGACUUAAACAUGUUUACUGAAGACAUUCUUAGUACUGAAAGUGGA